GACGAACGCUGGCGGCGUGCUUAACACAUGCAAGUCGAACGGAAAGGCCCUGCUUUUGUGGGGUGCUCGAUUGGCGAACGGGUGAGUAACACGUGAGUAACCUCCCCUUGACUUUGGGAUAACUUCAGGAAACUGGGGCUCAUACCGGAUAGGAGCUCCUGCUGCAUGGUGGGGGUUGGAAAGUUUCGGCGGUUGGGGAUGGACUCGCGGCUUAUCAGCUUGUUGGUGGGGUAGUGGCUUACCAAGGCUUUGACGGGUAGGCGGCCUGAGAGGGUGACCGGGCACAUGGGGACUGAGAGAGGGAGCAGUAGGCUACGGGAGGCAGCAGGGGGGAAUAUGGCAGAAUGGGCGGAAGCGUGAGGCAGAAACGCCGCGUGCGGGAUGACGGCCUUCGGGGUGUAAACCGAUGUGGCCUGUGACGAAGCGUGAGUGACGGUAAUGGGUAAAGAAGCACCGGCUAACUACGUG
rnacentral:rRNA from 1 species